GGUGCUGACGAGCGGCGAACGGGUGAGUAACGCGUAGGAAUCUGCCUGAUAGAGGGGGAUAGCCCGGGGAAACUCGGAUUAAUACCGCAUACGCCCUACGGGGGAAAGCAGGGGAUCUUCGGACCUUGCGCUAUCAGAUGAGCCUGCGUCGGAUUAGCUAGUUGGUAGGGUAAAGGCCUACCAAGGCGACGAUCCGUAACUGGUCUGAGAGGAUGAUCAGUCACACUGGAACUGAGACACGGUCCAGACUCCUACGGGAGGCAGCAGUGGGGAAUAUUGGACAAUGGGGGAAACCCUGAUCCAGCCAUGCCGCGUGUGUGAAGAAGGCCUUCGGGUUGUAAAGCACUUUAAGCAGGGAGGAAAGAGUAAUGGCUAAUACCCAUUAUUUUUGACGUUACCUGCAGAAUAAGCACCGGCUAACUUCGUGCCAGCAGCCGCGGUGAUACGAAGGGUGCAAGCGUUAAUCGGAAUUACUGGGCGUAAAGCGCGCGUAGGCGGUUUGAUAAGUUGGAUGUGAAAGCCCCGGGCUCAACCUGGGAAUUGCAUCCAAGACUGUCAGGCUAGAGUACGGGAGAGGGGGGUAGAAUUCCACGUGUAGCGGUGAAAUGCGUAGAGAUGUGGAGGAAUACCGGUGGCGAAGGCGGCCCCCUGGAUCGAUACUGACGCUGAGGUGCGAAAGCGUGGGGAGCAAACAGGAUUA
rnacentral:rRNA from 1 species